rnacentral:rRNA from 1 species
GGUUAAGUGACUAAGCGUACACGGUGGAUGCCUUGGCAGUCAGAGGCGAUGAAAGACGUAGUAACUUGCGAUAAGCCCAGAUUAGGUAGUAACAACCAUUUGAGUCUGGGAUUUCUGAAUGGGGAAACCCACUUACAUAAGUAAGUAUCAUUAAUUGAAUACAUAGGUUAAUGAGGCGAACCGGGGGAACUGAAACAUCUAAGUACCCCGAGGAAAAGAAAUCAACCGAGAUUCCGAAAGUAGCGGCGAGCGAAAUUGGACUAGCCCUUAAGCUUUACACGCGUUAGACGAACGGUCUGGAAAGUCCGACGAUACAGGGUGAUAGUCCCGUAGUUGACGACGUGUGUUCAGUGAAAUCGAGUAGGGCGGGACACGUGAUAUCCUGUCUGAAUAUGGGGGGACCAUCCUCCAAGGCUAAAUACUACUGACUGACCGAUAGUGAACCAGUACCGUGAGGGAAAGGCGAAAAGAACCCCUGUGAGGGGAGUGAAAUAGAACCUGAAACCGUGUACGUACAAGCAGUAGGAGCAGGCUUUGUCCUGUGACUGCGUACCUUUUGUAUAAUGGGUCAGCGACUUAUAUUCAGUGGCAAGGUUAACCAUCUAGGGGAGCCGUAGGGAAACCGAGUCUUAACUGGGCGUUCAGUCUCUGGAUAUAGACCCGAAACCAGGUGAUCUAGCCAUGGGCAGGUUGAAGGUUGAGUAACAUCAACUGGAGGACCGAACCGACUAAUGUUGAAAAAUUAGCGGAUGACUUGUGGCUAGGGGUGAAAGGCCAAUCAAACCUGGAGAUAGCUGGUUCUCCCCGAAAGCUAUUUAGGUAGCGCCUCGGACGAAUACUACUGGGGGUAGAGCACUGUUAAGGCUAGGGGGUCAUCCCGACUUACCAACCCUUUGCAAACUCCGAAUACCAGUAAGUACUAUCCGGGAGACACACGGCGGGUGCUAACGUCCGUCGUGGAGAGGGAAACAACCCAGACCGCCAGCUAAGGUCCCAAAUUACUACUAAGUGGGAAACGAUGUGGGAAGGCUCAGACAGCCAGGAUGUUGGCUUAGAAGCAGCCAUCAUUUAAAGAAAGCGUAAUAGCUCACUGGUCGAGUCGGCCUGCGCGGAAGAUGUAACGGGGCUAAGUAGUAAACCGAAGCUGCGGCAAUGUGCUUUUGCACAUUGGGUAGGGGAGCGUUCUGUAAGCGGUUGAAGGUGUGUGGUAACGCAUGCUGGACGUAUCAGAAGUGCGAAUGCUGACAUGAGUAACGAUAAAGGGGGUGAAAAACCUCCUCGCCGGAAGACCAAGGGUUCCUGUCCAACGUUAAUCGGGGCAGGGUAAGUCGACCCCUAAGGCGAGGCCGAAAGGCGUAGUCGAUGGGAAACGGGUUAAUAUUCCCGUACUUCUUACAAUUGCGAUGGGGGGACGGAGAAGGCUAGGUGGGCCUGGCGACGGUUGUCCAGGUUCAAGUGCGUAGGCUUAAGAGUUAGGUAAAUCCGGCUCUUUUUAAGGCUGAGACACGACGUCGAGCACCUACGGGUGUGAAGUCAUUGAUGCCAUGCUUCCAGGAAAAGCCUCUAAGCUUCAGAUUGUAAGGAAUCGUACCCCAAACCGACACAGGUGGUCGGGUAGAGAAUACCAAGGCGCUUGAGAGAACUCGGGUGAAGGAACUAGGCAAAAUGGUACCGUAACUUCGGGAGAAGGUACGCUCUCGACGGUGAAGUCCCUCGCGGAUGGAGCUAUUGAGAGUCGCAGAUACCAGGUGGCUGCAACUGUUUAUUAAAAACACAGCACUGUGCAAAAUCGUAAGAUGACGUAUACGGUGUGACGCCUGCCCGGUGCCGGAAGGUUAAUUGAUGGGGUUAGACUUCGGUCGAAGCUCUUGAUCGAAGCCCCGGUAAACGGCGGCCGUAACUAUAACGGUCCUAAGGUAGCGAAAUUCCUUGUCGGGUAAGUUCCGACCUGCACGAAUGGCGUAAUGAUGGCCACGCUGUCUCCACCCGAGACUCAGUGAAAUUGAAAUCGCUGUGAAGAUGCAGUGUACCCGCGGCUAGACGGAAAGACCCCGUGAACCUUUACUACAGCUUGGCACUGAACAUUGACCCUACAUGUGUAGGAUAGGUGGGAGGCUUUGAAGCACGUACGCCAGUAUGUGUGGAGCCGUCCUUGAAAUACCACCCUUGUAGUGUUGAUGUUCUAACGUUGACCCCUUAUCGGGGUUGCGGACAGUGCCUGGUGGGUAGUUUGACUGGGGCGGUCUCCUCCCAAAGAGUAACGGAGGAGCACGAAGGUGGGCUAAUCACGGUUGGACAUCGUGAGGUUAGUGCAAUGGCAUAAGCCCGCUUGACUGCGAGAAUGACAAUUCGAGCAGGUGCGAAAGCAGGUCAUAGUGAUCCGGUGGUUCUGAAUGGAAGGGCCAUCGCUCAACGGAUAAAAGGUACUCCGGGGAUAACAGGCUGAUACCGCCCAAGAGUUCAUAUCGACGGCGGUGUUUGGCACCUCGAUGUCGGCUCAUCACAUCCUGGGGCUGAAGUCGGUCCCAAGGGUAUGGCUGUUCGCCAUUUAAAGUGGUACGCGAGCUGGGUUUAGAACGUCGUGAGACAGUUCGGUCCCUAUCUGCCGUGGGCGUUGGAAGAUUGAAGGGGGCUGCUCCUAGUACGAGAGGACCGGAGUGGACGAACCUCUGGUGUUCGGGUUGUGUCGCCAGACGCAUUGCCCGGUAGCUAAGUUCGGAAUCGAUAACCGCUGAAAGCAUCUAAGCGGGAAGCGAGCCCUGAGAUGAGUCUUCCCUGAUACUUUAAGUAUCCUAAAGGGUUGUCGGAGACUACGACGUUGAUAGGUCAGGUGUGUAAGUGCUGUGAGGCAUUGAGCUAACUGAUACUAAUUGCCCGUGAGGCUUAACCAU